AUAUGGAUUGGAUUAUGGCAAACCUAUUCUCCUGGGCCUCUCAUAAUGUCACGUGUCAAAGCAAAUCAUGACCUUAGCCUCUGUCUAUAGGUUGCUAACACUGAUGUGAAUUGUGCAGUG
ensembl:snoRNA Gm25544 predicted gene, 25544